AUUGAACGAUGGCGGCAGGCUUAACACAUGCAAGUCGGGCGAGUGGCGGACGGGUGAGUAAUGCAUGGGGAUCUGCCUGAUGGAGGGGGAUAACUACUGGAAACGGUAGCUAAUACUGCAUACCAUCAGAUGAACCAAUGUGGGAUUCGCUAGUAGGUGAGGUAACGGCUCACCUAGGCGACGAUCCCUAGCUGGUCUGAGAGAAUGACCAGCCACCCUGGGACUGAGACACGGCCCAGACUCCUACGGGAGGCAGUAGUGGGGAAUAUUGCACAAUGGGCGCAAGCCUGAUGCAGCCAUGCCGCGUGUAUGAAGAAGGCCUUCGGGUUGUAAAGUACUUUCAGUCGGGAGGCGUUACCGACAGAAGAAGCACCGGCUAACUCCGUGCCAGCAGCCGCGGUAAUAC
rnacentral:rRNA from 1 species